rnacentral:rRNA from 1 species
AGUGAACGCUGGCGGUAGGCCUAACACAUGCAAGUCGAACGGCAGCACAGUAAGAGCUUGCUCUUACGGGUGGCGAGUGGCGGGCGGGUCCGAAAUACAUCGGAAUCUACUUUUUCGUGGGGGCUAACGUAGGGACACUUACGCUAAUACCGCAUACGACCUACGGGUGAAAGCAGGGGAUCUUCGGCCCUUGGGCGAUCGAAUGAGCCGAUGUCGGAUUAGCUAGUUGGCGGGGUAAAGGCCCACCAAGGCGACGAUCCGUAGCUGGUCUGAGAGGAUGAUCAGUCACACUGGAACUGAGACACGGUCCAGACUCCUACGGGAGGCAGCAGUGGGGAAUAUUGGACAAUGGGCGCAAGCCUGAUCCAGCCAUACCGCGUGGGUGAAGAAGGCCUUCGGGUUGUAAAGCCCUUUUGUUUGGAAAGAAAAGCAGCAGGUUAAUACCCCGCUGUUCUGACGGUACCCAAAGAAUAAGCACCGGCUAACUUCGUG